rnacentral:rRNA from 1 species
AAUCUUCCACAAUGGUCGAAAGCCUGAUGGAGCAACGCCGCGUGAUUGAAUUAGGAUUUCGGUUCGUAAAACACUGUUGUAAGGGAAGAACAAGUACAGUAUUAACUGGCUGUACCUUGACGGUACCUUAUUAGAAAGCCACGGCUAACUACCAGCCUUCAGCCGCGGUAAUACGUCGGUGGCAAGCGUUGUCCGGAAUUUUUGGGCGUAAAGCGCGCGCAGGUGGUUUCUUAAGUCUGAUGUGAAAGCCCACGGCUCAACCGUGGAGGGUCAUUGGAAACUGGGAGACUUGAGUGCAGAAGAGGAUAGUGGAAUUCCAAGUGUAGCGGUGAAAUGCGUAGAGAUUUGGAGGAACACCAGUGGCGAAGGCGACUAUCUGGUCUGUAACUGACACUGAGGCGCGAAAGCGUGGGGAGCAAACAGG